rnacentral:rRNA from 1 species
CCCUCUAAAGGGGACGUGAAGACACUUGUUGCAUGGCUGUCGUCAGCUCGUGCCGUGAGGUGUACGGUUAAGUCCGCCAACGAGCGCAACCCUUGUCUUGUGUUACCAGCACGAAAGGUGGGGACUCACAAGAGACCGCCGGUGUAAGCCGGAGGAAGGUGUGGAUGACGUCAAGUCAGCAUGGCUCUUACGCCUGGGGCUACACACAUGCUACAAUGGGCGCAACAAAGGGCAGCAAUACCGCGAGGUGGAGCCAAUCCCAAAAAUACGUCCUCAGUUCAGAUUGCAGUCUGCAACUCGACUGCAUGAAGGCGGAAUCGCUAGUAAACGCAGGUCAGCUAUACUGCGUUGAAUACGUUCCCGGGUCUUGUACACACCGCCCGUCAAGUCACCUGAAUUGUCUUCACCCGAAGUCCGUGGCCCAACCGCAAGGAGGGAGCGGUCGAAGGUGAGGGGGGUAAGGGGGACUAAGUCGUAACAAGGUACCCGUACCGGAAGGUGUGGGUGGAUCACCUCCUUAAA